rnacentral:lncRNA from 1 species
AUAUUUCCAUUUGAUACUUCUUAUCGUUUGUGGUUUGAAUUCUGAUUUUGUUUUAAUUAGUGAUUGUAAUGUGUAUGCGUCUCUUUAAUUAUAUUUUCAGAUCAUCCUGACAAAAGCAAUGCAUCUUUCAAUCAGGAAGACGAUCAUGUGUUAUUUGCAAUGAAAUUUGAAAAAGUGUUCCCAGUUCCUACUUGCAAAGCGUCAUACGGGGUACGUUGUUAAGUCAUUUUUGAGGCCCCUCGUGGGGAUUUUCAAGUAAUCGCAGUCAUAAUCACAAAUUGCUUACGUUUUGUAUAAAAAAAAAAGACUCACCUGUUACGCUCUAAACAAAAUAAAAAUAAAGAGUUCUAAAAAAAAAUAGGGAAUAGGGAAUGAUGAGUUGCUCACAAAAAAAGAUAAUGUAUUAAAGGACUUUCCAACCCACACUAUCAACCAGAGGUAAUGUGAAAAAAAGACUGUUUGAGUUCAACUGUGUAAUAAGGUGUCAAACUUUUAGAAAUGAAUAUCAUGCUUUCAUCUUAUUUUCGAAUGAGGACAUACAUAUUCAACAGGUUACUCAAGGUUAUUGCAGCUAUGCAUAUUGAAUAGGGGAAGAUAUUUUGGAUGGUGGUAGUAGCAAUGUACGAAAAAUCCUACGUUUCCAAGUAACUGUUUCAUUUAUGUUUCCUGUGUUUUUAAAGCAUUCGCAACUUCAUUGUAAAAAUCUUCCGCCUAUUCAAUAUGGUUGCAAUAACCGUGAAAGGGCCUAUAAAAAUAAAAUGAACAGCUGAUUAGAAACUGAUAAUUCUCCACAUUUAUUUCGUACAGGAUCAAAACAUUACAAACUUGUUGAACAUAAGUUCCGUUCUAGAGGAUGUAUUUUACAAAGUUGAAAUUAACCUGAAGUAUCAUCACGUCUCGAAAGGAUGCAUGCAUCAUCCAUUCGAGCUCGACUGCUGCGUUGGAACAAAGACGAUCAAACAACGUUUUGAGACGGCCAAUGAUGUUUGUCUGGAGAUGACCCCCAAAUUAAAAACUGGUUGGUUCUUUUCAUGUAAAAAAUAAGAUACUUUUAUGUAAAUUAAGGAGUUAUCAGUUCCAUGCUACAUUUAAAAAGUUGCAUUGCAAGGUGAUGAAAAUCAAAUAUCAAACAACGUAUGGAGAUGCCAUCAUGGACAAUUAUGUUGUCUAAUGGUAGCCCCUGGAUUCAAAACUGGUUAGUUGUUUUUAUCAUAUAAAUUUAGUAAGAAGCACAAUAUUUUAUUUUGCAUUCAGUUAGAUCUAUCCCAUCGAAUUGGAGAUAAAGGAUACUACAGAUACAGUUAAGUCGGCUUCAUAUCUUGACUUACAUCUAGAAAUUGACAAUGAGGGUCGGUUGAAAACAAAACUUUACGACAAAAGAGAUGAUUUCAGCUUUCCAAUUGUGAACUUUCCAUUUCUAAGUAGCAACAUUCCACAAGCACCUGCAUACAGGGUAUAUAUCUCCCAAUUGAUAGGAUAUUCCCGUGCUUGCAUUUCCUAUCAUGAUUUUCUUGAUAGAGGGUUACUGCUCACAAGGAAGCUAUUAAACCAAGAGUUCCAAAUGGUGAAGUUGAAAUCAUCCCUUCGUAAAUUUCACGGACGCCAUCACGAGUUGGUUGACCGUUAUGGAAUAAACGUUUCACAAAUGAUAUCGGAUAUGUUCCUUACGUCGUAACUACAAUCCCCUUCCCUUUCAUGAAUGUGACCUACCGAAUUAGACUAUUUACCGGAUUUGUAAUCACAACGACGGGUGCCACAUGUGGAGCAGGAUCUGCUUACCCUUCCGGAGCACCUGAGAUCACCCCUAGUUUUUGGUGGGGUUCGUGUUGUUUAUUCUUUAGUUUUCUAUGUUGUGUCAUGUGUACUAUUGUUUUCUGUUUGUCUUUUUCAUUUUUAGCCAUGGCGUUGUCAGUUUGUUUUAGAUUUAUGAGUUUGACUGUCCCUUUGGUAUCUUUCGUCCCUCUUUUAUAAAGAUUAAGUUGUGACACGCCACUGAUGAAAAUGUGCAUUGUAAAGUGAUAGGCAAGAUCAUCUGUUCAAAAGAUCAUAAUAUCAAUAUUAUUUUACUAAACGAAUGCUAUAGUAGUAAUUAUGUCGGAUAAAAUUACUGUUUUUAUUUCCUAGAUAUUUAAAGUAGUAUAUAAGAAGUUGAUUUUAAACAUCCUGUCAGGAUAAUAAUUAUGUGAUAUGAAUAAAAAUAUAUAUAUAUAGAGUACGGUAUACAAUCACGUGAAUGUCAAUGCAGCGACACAAAUUACAACCAAAUAUGCGUACAAAGUUUGAAGCCUGGUAUCUAUGAUGAGUUUAUCUAUGCAUAUUGAAAAUGUAUUAUUGUUUGUCUUUUAUAAAAAAAGUAUAUUUUCAUGUUUUAAUUUCAGAUGAAAAACCGAAUGUGUCCGAGAAGGAUCAGACCCUUGGAACGGUUGGACAAAUAGUAUUCGGGAUAGUGUUUUUAAUUUACUGUGUUAUAUUCCCAUUAACAUUUGCAUAUAUACAAUAUAAUAGUUACUAACUUUGCUGUUCGUUGUAUAGUAAUUGUGUUAUUUAUCUUGUAAAUUCUAUAAACUAUGUUGCAUUACUAACAAAAUGUAUAAAGUAAUAUAUCUGAAUUAUCAAGGAAAUAUCGACGUUGAUCGUGCAUAUAUGUAGACAGUGACUCAAACGGAAAAACAGCGUAUAGCAAAAUGGACUUGUGAUAUGUGACCAACCGUUAUCGCUAACAAUGGGUUUGUUUUGCUGCGUUCAUGUGUUUAUUAACCCUCAUGAAACACUCAAGGUUUGAUAACAGUCAAAACGGAAAUAUUUAAUGUAGGUAAAUUGAAUGUGGUACUAUAUAAAAUUUAAAAAAACGAUAUAUGAAAUUUCAAUCAUAUUUUGUUUAGAUAUUAUCGUGUUCUAUUGAUGUGAUUUGUUUUUAUGAAUAUAUUCAAUAUACUUUUAUAUUCAAGUUAUUGUGGUAAGUGAAUAUUCCUGUUAGGAUUUGAAUACGUAAAAUCAUGCACUGCCAAAAGAAGAGGGGUAGUUGUAUAAUAUUGACGUAAGCGAAAUAAGAUGUUCUAUGAGCAAGAAUAUGUGAGACGAAUAGCACUAUUUCUUUGUGUAUCUGACUUUUAGAAGAUGAAGAGGUUAAUUUCAAAG